AUGUACGUUCUGCCCACUGUUCCCACAGCGGGAGCCAUUUUCAAGGGCGCAGCCUUGAGACAGCGAUAUGUCGCUGAGACCAUCUGGACAGUAUUCGUGACUGAACCCAGAUGAGAAUACAAAUGCAUCCUAUUCUGCAAGAGACCAAAAGAAGAGGCAGAAACCACAUUUCUCCUGCAAAAUCCCCACUUGAACGGGGGAAAAUUGGUUCCACUAUUGACAAGAUAAACCAAAAUUAUACACAAUCACACACAUUUUUUAAGGGACACGGGUUCGAGCCCUGGUCUGGGAAGAUUCCACAUGCCGCGGAGCAACUAGGCCCGUGAGCCACAAUUACUGAGCCUGCGCGUCUGGAGCCUGUGCUCUGCAACAAGAGAGGCCGCGAUAGUGAGAGGCCUGCGCACCGCGAUGAAGAGUGGCCCCCGCUUGCCACAACUAGAGAAAGCCCUCGCACAGAAACGAAGACCCAACACAGCCAAAAAUAAAUAAAUAAAUAAACUUAUUUUAAAAAAAAGAAAAA